AUGACGUCACACCCGCCGUGUGACGUCACACCCGCCCCCGUGGCAUCACCCCGCAGGAGCCCCCCGUGCCCGGCUCCAUCGGCGCGGCCGCAGCGGGGCCCGGGAGCUGCCCGGCCCGGUGCUCGCUUUGCCCUUUGCCAUUCGCAGAACUGGAACCCGCGUUUUCCUGCCACGUCAGCCUUCUGGGUUUUUUUCCCCCCUGAAAAAGGCUUUUCCAGAGCUCGCUGGGGGAAAGCCGUGAGGAGAUCCCCGGGGGUGCCCGGCUGGGACGCGGCCGCAGCCCCUCGCCCGUCUCAGCGGGGCCCAGAGCCCGGACUGCCACGGAGCAGCCGCCGCGGAGCCAGCAGCCGUGUGACGAGGGCAGGGCACGAAGGACCGCGCCGGGAAGAAUCAGCUUUUUGUGUUUUCUGGGACACAAACAAGCCUGGGAGGAGCGCCGCAGGGUCCGGCGCGGGGCAGCGGGGCCGAGCUCACGCGAGGGGCUGCGGGGCGCUCGUUUCUUCCGCCCCCGUGGGCCGAUACCAGCCCCGCUUUCGCUCACGGGGCGGUUUUAUGAGCACGGCCCACGGCGCGGUGGCUGGACGAGGGACGUUCCCCCGCCGCUGCCCGGGCUCGUUUUGGGGAUGGGGGCAGCACCGGGGGACCGGGGCAGCAGCUCGGGGGCUCGGUGGGCAGAGCCAGAGCCAGGCACGGCUGCAGGAAGCGUCCCUGCGGGGCGAAGUCCACAGCUCCCCGCAUCUGUUCCUCCGCCUGCGGGGCCGGGCUGACCCCGCCGAUCCCGGUGGCUGCCGUGCCACAAGGCAGGGGCUCAGCUCCUCCGAGCGCUGGCGUUAUCCCAGCACCGGUCUUCCAGAGCUUCCCUUCCUGCGUCCGUUUGGCAGGAGCAAAAGAGGAACAAAACGAACAGGCCCGGCCUUUUCCCCUCCGCAGAGGGCCGAGGCUGGCAGCUGGGACGUCGGCGGCAGCAGGUUGCUGCGCGUGGCUUGGCCAGGCUGCAGGGACACGCAGACCGUCCCCGCCGCCGAGCUGAGCAGAAAGCCAGCGCUUUCAGCCCAACGGAGCGCUGGAAGCGGCCCCGUGCCAGGGCGCUCCCCCCCCGGCGGCAGCUGUUUCCCCCGCAGCACACAAGGCCGUUUUGUUCGGGGUGAGGCUGUGACCUCGUGGAGCAGGACGGAGCGAGCGGCCCCACGGCCCCGCAGGCCCGGGCUGCCCUCCCGAGGUACCAGGCGCAGGGCAGAGCCCGAGGCUGCGCAGCCCUGCGCUAAGCCCCGCUUCCUGCCGCGCCUGCAGCAGCCUCAGGGGCUGAGACGUUGUUUCGAGGAUCAGGAGGGAGAUGGCUGCAGGAGGUAA
rnacentral:lncRNA from 1 species